UACGGAGGGUGCAAGCGUUGUCCGGAAUCAUUGGGCGUAAAGAGCGUGUAGGCGGCCCGAUAAGUCCGCUGUGAAAGUCCAGGGCUCAACCCUGGGAUGCCGGUGGAUACUGUCGGGCUCGAGUCCGGAAGAGGAGUGUGGAAUUCCUGGUGUAGCGGUGAAAUGCGCAGAUAUCAGGAGGAACACCAAUGGCGAAGGCAGCACUCUGGGACGUGACUGACGCUGAGACGCGAAAGCGUGGGGAGCAAACAGG
rnacentral:rRNA from 1 species